AUGGAGGUCGAUGGCGCCGAGGUCGAGGAGGCCACCCAGGAUAAGGCCGCUGCCAAGGCGCUCGGGACCAAGAUCUGCUCGGCCUCGGGUGACGUCGAGGCGCUCUUGCUCCCGUGGAUGACCCCUCCCGGGGACCUCGACAAGGGUAUGAUUUCCUCCUCUUCUCCUCUUCUUCUGGCUUUCUUCUUCGCCGCAUCUGAUGCGUACACGCUUUGCGUGUUUGAGGGCCAGGGAGAAGCUGCUCAAUCUGACGAGUUCGGAUGCCCGCCAAGGUGA
rnacentral:rRNA from 1 species